AUUGAACGCUGGCGGCAUGCCUUACACAUGCAAGUCGAAGGGCAGCACGGGGCAACCUGGUGGCGAGUGGCGAACGGGUGAGUAAUGCAUCGGAACGUACCUUUCAGUGGGGGAUAACGUAGCGAAAGUUACGCUAAUACCGCAUAUUCUGUGAGCAGGAAAGCAGGGGAUCGCAAGACCUUGCGCUGAUUGAGCGGCCGAUGUCAGAUUAGCUAGUUGGUGAGGUAAGGGCUCACCAAGGCGACGAUCUGUAGCGGGUCUGAGAGGAUGAUCCGCCACACUGGAACUGAGACACGGUCCAGACUCCUACGGGAGGCAGCAGUGGGGAAUUUUGGACAAUGGGGGCAACCCUGAUCCAGCCAUGCCGCGUGAGUGAAGAAGGCCUUCGGGUUGUAAAGCUCUUUCGGCCGGGAAGAAAUCGCACGGGCUAAUACCCUGUGUGGAUGACGGUACCGGAAUAAGAAGCACCGGCUAACUACGUGCCAGCCGCCGCCGUAAAAC
rnacentral:rRNA from 1 species